CCUACGGGAGGCAGCAGUGAGGAAUAUUGGUCAAUGGACGAGAGUCUGAACCAGCCAAGUAGCGUGAAGGAUGACUGCCCUAUGGGUUGUAAACUUCUUUUAUAUGGGAAUAAAAUGUUCCACGUGUGGGAUUUUGUAUGUACCAUAUGAAUAAGGAUCGGCUAACUCCGUGCCAGCAGCCGCGGUAAUACGGAGGAUCCGAGCGUUAUCCGGAUUUUUUGGGUUUAAAGGGAGCGUAGGUGGAUUGUUAAGUGAGUUGUGAAAGUUUGCGGCUCAACCGUAAAAUUGCAGUUGAAACUGGCAGUCUUGAGUACAGUAGAGGUGGGCGGAAUUCGUGGUGUAGCGGUGAAAUGCUUAGGUAUCACGAAGAACUCCGAUUGCGAAGGCAGCUCACUGGACUGCAACUGACACUGAGGCUCGAAAGUGUGGGUAUCAAACAGGAUUAGAUACCCCAGUAGUC
rnacentral:rRNA from 1 species